CACGUAGGCGGUGAAUCGGGUUGAAAGUGAAAGUCGCCAAAAAGUGGCGGAAUGCUCUCGAAACCAAUUCACUUGAGUGAGACGGAGGAGAGUGGAAUUUCGUGUGUAGGGGUGAAAUCCGUAAAUAUACGAAGGAACGCCAAAAGCGAAGGCAGCUCUCUGGGUCCCUACCGACGCUGGGGUGCGAAAGCAUGGGGAGCGAACA
rnacentral:rRNA from 1 species